ensembl:miRNA MIR371A microRNA 371a
ACUCAAACUGUGGGGGCACUUUCUGUGCUACGUAGGGAAGUGCCGCCAUUUUUUGAGUGU